GGGGAUGUAGCUCAAUGGUAGAACAUAUGCUUCACGUGUAUGAGGCCCCAGGUUCGAUCCCUGCCAUCUCCA
rnacentral:tRNA from 2 species